rnacentral:lncRNA from 1 species
GACGAUCGCAUCUUACACUUUCGCCGUUGCUCAGAGUGGAAGGGGACUCCCUGUUGCUUUCUUAUGCGGUCCCGCUUUCACGUGUCCUGAUCCGCAAGACGUCGUUUUUUGCCUCUCAAGGUGGCGAAAAGGUGGCUGCAGCCACCACCCCUCUCACCAUUCGAGUAUCAGCUCGGCUUCAGCUCUUGACGCAGCAUUUUGCUCUUUCGAUCAAAGGACAUCCUUAAUCCACCUGACCAAUCACAAGGCAAGCCCUGCUUAACUUGCAAUCCUCAGCUGCUGAAUGAAGUUCGCAGUUUUUACCGUCGCCGUUUCAGCAUCCACGCCCGGAGAGAGAAGUGGAGGUGUGUCUCGCUAGAUAGGUAUGGUUGCGCGAGCCGUACUCCACGGCUUCGGAAGACGCGACAGGCUCCGAUGAAAUACGAACCCAGAAAAACUGCGAAAUACGGGAAGCAUCCACCCGAAAUGCCCCUUCUUUGAAGUUUCGCCCUAUUAUCGAGUGAUUUGCAGUCCUCGCAUUCCGAUGUCCCUGUUUCUUGGAGAAGCUAUUUUCUCUGGCAUACACACCAGGCCCUUGAGGACGGAGAGGGACGCGGCCCCCGCGACGCCCACAUCUAUGUUCACCUCUGUUCUAUUCCCGAAGGCGUAUGAAGCAAUAUUCUGGACCAAAGACCAAACCAUGCGAAAUUCUCCGGAAAAUCCGCAAAUGCGUUAGAGCUCACGGGAGCAGCUCUAUUAGCAGAUUCCGAUACCUACAACACCGCGAUUCGCAUGCACGAGACCUUUGUUCAGGAUCUUUCUCCGGCACCCCCCCCGUCCCCGCCCCCCUGUC